rnacentral:lncRNA from 1 species
GCCAAAUCUUCGGCUUCUCAAAGCCGGUCUCAGUGGCUGUCGAUUUUUGGACACCGAGGAGUUGGAGUCAGUUGGCAGUGCCCAGACUGCGGGCUGCGCUUGGUCGGGCACCCCAGGCAAAAAAGAAAAAAAAAAAAGAGAAAGAAAGAGGAGGAGACAGUGAUUGCAGCCUCUCCCGGCGCAGGUGGCAGAGCCUUGCGGCUUUGGAGAGAGGUGGAGCCUUGGUGAGGUUGGGAGGACUGCCUAACUGCGAUCUUUUUCUCCAUUCUUCCUCCUGGGAACUUCUCCGCCCUGAAAGGGUAGCGUGAGCUUCAUGCCUUCGGCCGGCCGUGUUAUACUCGUUAGACCCAAUUCACCAUGAAUCCUUUGAAAGACUAGUGGAGAGUGAGAAGGGGGUUUCAAAGUCACUGGAGUAAAGGAAUUCUCCAAGCACCACCUCAUGAUUAAUUCUUGGAAAAGCCUGUUUGCGCGGCCCUUAGAAUCAUUUUGACUUCUUGUCUAAUGGUGAAGUUUUUCUCUGUAAUCCUUCUACUCUGUUUUCUAAAACCAGAACUAAAAACCUAAAAAAUUGUAAAACUUCAUGGUGUAAUUAAAACCCCUUCACCAUUUUUUUUAAGUAAGAUUGUGUGGCCUUAUUGCACAAUUUAAAUUCCUGGAAAAACCUCUUCCCAUCUGCAGUGUACAAGCAUUCUAACAUAUUAUGUCUCCUCACAGGGUAAGUAAAUAACUGGAUUCUUUUAUGUGAUAAGCAGGUACCCAUUUCUUAAAUGUUAUUUCGUGAACGAACAAACCUCCUAACUGGUUCUUCAGUUAGUCUCAGCAACACAUGGGUAAUAAGAGAAACUAAAAGGGCUUUCCGAUUUCAAGUAAUUACAGGUCAUAAAAUAUCCAGAAUCAUAUUUACUUGCAAAAGGCACUAUAUGGAUAUACUAAUAAAGAAUUAUUC